AAAAAAAAAAAAAAAAAAAAAAAAAAGUGCAGCUGAGUGAUGUCAGGCUGUGGGGUGGUAUUAGGUGGGGUGAGUGCCCUGGCUGAUUUUGAGAAGUUGUACCCCCAUCUGUAGGGCAUUUCAUUGUGCUAUGUUAGAGCACCAUUGACGGGAACACUGAAAGUGCCCACCUGGACCAGGCGGCAUACUAGCUGCUUGCAUGUGUUGUCUCACAGCAGGAGGCCCUGAGAAUCAACAUGUGCUGCCCUGAAGACUAACCAGGAGGAUUUGGGAGGGGCCGCUAGAAGGAAGGAGAUGACCAGCCUCCCAGGAUCCUUGGUGCCGGAGUCCAUCUUGGCUGAGAGGGAAAAACUUCAGCCUCCAAGAUCGUCACUGAGUUCCAAAGGAGCUAAACCCCCAACAAAUGGAAAACUGGAGAGGAGGACCACCAGCACCAGUCCUGGGGCUGCCGAACACCAACUUUGAAGAAGAAUGCAAGCUUGCAUCUACCCUGAUCCUUACCUGUGGCCCUAUUUUCUACUGCCACACUGUGUAAAAUCCCUUCCUGAUCUCUCCCAAGGUGGGGCACAGUCUUUAGGGCAUUAGCCUGCUGUGGCCUCCUUUGCUUGGCAAAGCAAUAAAGCUAUUUUUUUUCUCUUUCAC
rnacentral:lncRNA from 1 species